UAGGGAAUCUCCCACAAUGGGCGCAAGCCUGAUGGAGCAACACCGCGUGAGUGAAGAAGGGUUUCGGCUCGUAAAGCUCUGUUGUUAAAGAAGAACACGUAUGAGAGUAACUGUUCAUACGUUGACGGUAUUUAACCAGAAAGUCACGGCUAACUACGUGCCAC
rnacentral:rRNA from 1 species